rnacentral:rRNA from 1 species
CCUACUGGAGGCCGCAGUGGGGAAUAUUGGGCAAUGGGCGCAAGCCUGACCCAGCAACGCCGCGUGAAGGAAGAAGGCUUUCGGGUUGUAAACUUCUUUUCUCAGGGACGAAGAAAGUGACGGUACCUGAGGAAUAAGACACGGCUAACUACGUGCAAGCAGCAGCGGUCAUACGUAGGUGGCAAGCGUUAUCCGUAUUUACUGGGGGUAAAGGGCGUGUAGGCGGGACUGCAAGUCAGAUGUGAAAACCACGGGCUCAACCUGUGGCCUGCAUUUGAAACUGUAGUUCUUGAGUACUGGAGAGGCAGACGGAAUUCCUAGUGUAGCGGUGAAAUGCGUAGAUAUUAGGAGGAACACCAGUGGCGAAGGCGGUCUGCUGGACAGCAACUGACGCUGAGGCGCGAAAGCGUGGGGAGCAAACAGGAUUAGAUACCCUGGUAGUC